rnacentral:tRNA from 1 species
CCUGGAUUAGCUUAAGGAGUAGAGCACCAAUCUUUUAAAUUGGGGGUAUAGAAAUUUAUUCGGGA